UAUAUAUCUGUGUGGUCCUUAACUAUAUGUCUGAUGCCAUAUAAUCAUAAAUAAAGUGUGUUGAGUGCGUUGUGAAAUAAACCAUUUCCUUCCUUCCUUUAUAAAAAUAAUGGUGAUUAUAUACUCAUCAUGUGUUCAGUCAAAAUAUAUAUUUAUAGGUCAUGGUACAGCGUGUAUUUGUGUUAUAACUAACUUUUUACUGAAAAACCUUGUAUAUAACAAUUCAGUUGCCCGAGGGGCGGGAUGUAGCCCAGUGGUAAAGCACUCGCUCGAUGCACGGUUGGUCUGGGAUCGAUAUCCGUCUGUGGGCCCAUUGGGCUAUAUCUUGUUCCAUCUAAUGCACCACUAGUGCAAAGGCAGUGGUAUGUAAUACCCUGUCUGUGAUAUGGUGUGUGUGUAUAUAUAUAUAUAUAUAUAUAUAUAUAUAUAUAUAAAAAACAGUGGCGGAUCCAGAGGGUGAACCACAUAUCAUUGUAUAGACAUUGAAAAGAGAUGGGACAGUGUUAGUGAAUUUGAAUGAACCACAUACAAUGGUACAAAAGCUGGUAGCGCAUUAUUUCUGGGAAUGUGCCCCCCCCCCCCUACAAUUUUUUUAUUUAUUAUUAUUUAUUAUUAUUAUUAGUAUUUAUUAUUAUUAUUUAAUAGAUGGUGCACUUCUAUAUUAAGAGUGUGCACCUCCAUCACAUUUGGAUCUGCACCCGAUGUUUAAUGCCUUGAAUGCAGUUAGCAAUAAAUAAAUAUACAUGUGUAUAUAUAUAUAUAUAUAUAUAUAUAUAUUGUGAUGUUAGUCACUUUUUAAAAUUAUUAACCUAUUUACAGUGUUUUAGCCACAUUUUUUUUUUUUCAUUUAUAUUUUUCAAGCAUGGCACACAGAAAGAAGCAAGUGAGAUUCACUGAAAAAAAAGUGACCUAUAAUUACUUAAAGAAGUUGUGGCACAAAAUCUGUUCCAGGAUAAAACGAAAUGGAUAACAAUAGCUGCGCAUGUGUCCAUUGAAGAAUUUGGCAUUGAUCUGAGGAAGGCAAGAGAGAGGACAGAUCUCCAAAUAGAAAAAUUUACACAGCAGGAGAAUGUAUCCAAAAUAAGAUGAUGACAGUGACAGAGACGAUAACCCAUCAGAAAAGAGGAGGGAAUAUGGACAUAAUAAUAUAUCUUAAGGAAAAUAAUGGGAAAAUAUGGAACUGAAACAAGAGGAACUGGAGAUAAAAAAAAGAACAGUUAAAACUCAGUGAAGAGAAAUUUGAUUUUGAGAUGCAGGAACGUUGGCAAAAAUUAGAACUAGAGAAGCAGCAGUCGACACUGACGAUGGAACUCAUAAAGCAAUUGAACAAAUGACUGGAUAUUAUAAGACAUCUUAAUUACAAGACAAAUAAAGUUAUGCUUGCCA